UAUAAUGCUGGGGUACGAUGCGGAGCGAAAUUAAGUAGCGAAGUAGCUGAUUUCACACUGUCGAGAAAAGUCUCUAUCGAGGUUAAAGGUGCCUGUACCGCAAACCGACACAGGUGGGUGAGGAGAGUAUCCUAAGGCCAGCGAGAGAACUGUUGUUAAGGAACUCGGCAAAAUGACCCCGUAACUUCGGGAGAAGGGGUGCCUUCGAAAGAAGGCCGCAGAGAAUAGGCCCAAGCGACUGUUUACCAAAAACAUAGGUUUCUGCUAGUCGCAAGACGAUGUAUAGGAGCUGACGCCUGCCCGGUGCUGGAAGGUUAAGGGGAUCUGUUAGAGCAAUCGAAGCAGUGAACUUAAGCCCCAGUAAACGGCGGCCGUAACAAUAACGGUCCUAAGGUAGCGAAAUUCCUUGUCGGGUAAGUUCCGACCCGCACGAAAGGCGUAACGAUUUGGGCACUGUCUCAACAACAGACUCGGUGAAAUUGUAAUACCGGUGAAGAUGCCGGUUACCUGCGACAGGACGGAAAGACCCCAUGGAGCUUUACUGUAGCUUGACAUUGAGUCUCGGUGCUACAUGUACAGGAUAGGUGGGAGACUAUGAAGCAUGGACGUCAGUCUGUGUGGAGUCAUCCUUGGGAUACCACCCUUGUAGUACUGGGAUUCUAACCAGAGGCCAUGAAUCUGGUCUUGGGACACUGUCAGGUGGACAGUUUGACUGGGGCGGUCGCCUCCCAAAAAGUAACGGAGGCGCUCAAAGGUUCUCUCAGUACGGUCGGAAAUCGUACGAAGAGUGUAAAGGCAAAAGAGAGCUUGAUUGCAAGACAUACAGGUCGAGCAAGGACGAAAGUCGGACUUAGUGAUCCGGUGGUUCCGCAUGGAAGGGCCAUCGCUCAACGGAUAAAAGCUACCCUGGGGAUAACAGGCUGAUCUCCCCCAAGAGUCCACAUCGACGGGGAGGUUUGGCACCGAUGUCGGCUCAUCACAUCCUGGGGCUGUAGUAGGUCCCAAGGGUUGGGCUGUUCGCCCAUUAAAGUGGUACGCGAGCUGGGUUCAGAACGUCGUGAGACAGUUCGGUCCCUAUCCGUCGCAGGCGUAGGAAAUUUGAGGAGACCUGUCCUUAGUACGAGAGGACCGGGAUGGACGUACCGCUGGUGUACCAGUUGUUCUGCCAAGGGCAUGGCUGGGUAGCUAAGUACGGAAAGGAUAAGCGCUGAAAGCAUCUAAGCGCGAAGCCCACUUCAAGAUAAGAUUUCCCACCGCAAGGUUAAGAUCCCAGGAAGACUACCUGGUUGAUAGGUCAGAGGUGUAAGUGCAGUAAUGUAUUUAGCUUACUGAUACUAAUAGAUCGAGGACUUGACU
rnacentral:rRNA from 1 species